GACGAAAAUAACGAUACGGGACUCAUCCGAGGCCCCGUAAUCGGAAUGAGUACACUUUAAAUCCUUUAACGAGGAUCCAUUGGAGGGGCAAGUCUGGUGCCAGCAGCCGCGGUAAUUCCAGCUCCAAUAGCGUAUAUUAAAGUUGUUGCGGUUAAAAAGCUCGUAGUUGAAUCUGUGUGCCACAAUGUCGGUCCGCCGCUCGCGGUGGUUACUUGCAUACCGUGGGACGUCCUACCGGUGGACUUAGCCCUUCGGGGCGGUCCAACUAAUAUCCCAUCGCGGUGCUCUUCAUUGAGUGUCGAGAUGGGCCGGUACGUUUACUUUGAACAAAUUAGAGUGCUUAAAGCAGGCUACUUUCGCCUGAAUACUGUGUGCAUGGAAUAAUGGAAUAGGACCUCGGUUCUAUUUUGUUGGUUUUCGGAACCCCGAGGUAAUGAUUAAUAGGGACAGAUGGGGGCAUUCGUAUUGCGACGUUAGAGGUGAAAUUCUUGGAUCGUCGCAAGACGGACAGAAGCGAAAGCAUUUGCCAAAAAUGUUUUCAUUAAUCAAGAACGAAAGUUAGAGGUUCGAAGGCGAUCAGAUACCGCCCUAGUUCUAACCAUAAACGAUGCCAGCUAGCGAUCCGCCGAAGUUCCUCCGAUGACUCGGCGGGCAGCUUCCGGGAAACCAAAGCUUUUGGGUUCCGGGGGAAGUAUGGUUGCAAAGCUGAAACUUAAAGGAAUUGACGGAAGGGCACCACCAGGAGUGGAGCCUGCGGCUUAAUUUGACUCAACACGGGAAACCUCACCAGGCCCGGACACCGGAAGGAUUGACAGAUUGAUAGCUCUUUCUUGAUUCGGUGGGUGGUGGUGCAUGGCCGUCUUAGUGGU
rnacentral:rRNA from 1 species